CCUACGGGAGGCAGCAGUGAGGAAUAUUGGUCAAUGGGCGCGAGCCUGAACCAGCCAAGUCGCGUGAGGGAUGACUGCCCUAUGGGUUGUAAACCUCUUUUAUAAGGGAAGAAAAUUGACUACGUGUGGUCAGAUGCAGGUACCUUGUGAAUAAGGAUCGGCUAACUCCGUGCCAGCAGCCGCGGUAAUACGGGGGAUGCGGGCGUUAUCCGGAUUUAUUGGGUUUAAAGGGUGCGUAGGCGGUAUUUUAAGUUAGUGGUAAAACGUCGGGGCUUCACCUUGAUUGGCCAUUAAAACUGGCGGUCUUGAGUACAGACGAGGUAGGCGGAAUGAGUGGAGUAGCGGUGAAAUGCUUAGAUAUCACGAAGAACCCCGAUUGCGAAGGCAGCCUACUAGACUGUUACUGACGCUGAUGCUCGAGAGUGUGGGUAGCAAACAGGAUUAGAUACCCUUGUAGUC
rnacentral:rRNA from 1 species